rnacentral:rRNA from 2 species
UAGGGAAUUUUCGGCAAUGGGGGCAACCCUGACCGAGCAACGCCGCGUGAGUGAAGAAGGCCUUCGGGUUGUAAAGCUCUGUUGUAGGGGAAGAAUGGAUUGAGUAGGGAAUGACUUAAUUUUGACGGUACCCUACCAGAAAGCCACGGCUAACUACGUGCCAGCAGCCGCGGUAAUACGUAGGUGGCAAGCGUUAUCCGGAAUUAUUGGGCGUAAAGGGUGCGUAGGCGGCUGUUUAAGUUCAAGGUUAAAGUUCGGGGCUCAACCCCGUGAUGCCUUGGAAACUGGACAGCUAGAGUACAGGAGAGGUGAGUGGAAUUCCAUGUGUAGCGGUAAAAUGCGUAGAUAUAUGGAGGAACAUCAGUGGCGAAGGCGGCUCACUGGCCUGUAACUGACGCUGAGGCACGAAAGCGUGGGGAGCAAAUAGG